rnacentral:antisense_RNA from 1 species
AGCACUCAGGGCGCCCUCGGCCCCCUCCCGGGAGCUGGGCGGUGAGGCCUGCAGAGCAGGACCUGCCAGCUGAGCGCCCCUACCCCUGCCCCUGCCCGCCCCCGCGCCUCGCCCCUCCCGCCGGGCUCGGAUCUGCCCCGCCUGCCCCUGACUCGACUGAGGCCCUUUGCAAACCACAGGUGGUUUUCUCCGGUGACAAACAAUGCUUCCUUCUUCCUUCCGGGCAGCUUGGGUCCAAGAGUGGGGGGAGGGGGGUUACCCCAGAAAACAGGGAUUUGGCGAGUCCCUCUCCCCUAUAAAUUAAGUGAGAGUCGGGACACACGCAUGUAUCUUGGAGCAAAGUCACCCGAAUUCCGUGCGCCCUGCGCCCUGGCCAACAGGUAGCGCCCCCCCACUCGGGGAACGGUCGCGCUUUUGGGGAGCAAAGUGGGACCGCCAUUCGGGCGUUUCUAGGUCUCUCUCUAGACAUAGUCUCACCCUCCGCCCCCCUUCCCACGCACAAGAGAGUGUCUGAUUCUUGGAUCCGAGCAUCCUGGGAUCCAUUUAAAAUGCAUUUCCUGGACCAUAAAUCCUCAGGCAGUAGCCGGCGUCCCCAACCCUCCUGAAAUGCAUGCGGGAAAUGGCAGCAGACCGGUGCAGUGGGCUGAUGGGGGUGUGGAGGCUGCCCAGGGUCCUCACUCCUGGGAGUGUAGGCCGGUGACCGCAGCGCGGUGAGCCAGAAACUGCAAGCCAGGCCUGGAGCCUGAGAUUAGGACAGGAGAAGAGGUGCGACUCGGACCCUCCAAUCAGCCAGGAGCCCUGCUCAGAUCUUCCCCUGUCCGAGAGAAUCAGGAUGGUCCCCACUCUUGGCUCACUCUUGGCUCACGGGGCUCUCAGGAAAAUCAGCCCCUCCUGGGAGUCCCAGAGUUCAACCUCAGUCUCUUGCCUUGGGCACCAAAGCUCCCUUCCCAGAGUACCAGCAGCCAGGAGGACAGUCACCUCCUCAUACACCCACUGUCAAUGAGGAACAUUUAGGGCGAUCGGCUUUGUUUUGUUUUGUGCAGUUACAGUGAUUCAUUGAGCUUUCUAGCGCUGUCUCCCUGUGCCCCUCUACAGAAGUUCUCUAAAUGUCUGCGGUGGCAUCAUUGGACCAGCUACGUCUUGGACUUUAUUGGAAGCUGCCAAAUUGCUUUCCAAACACCUGGAGCAAUUGACCUCUCACCCUUCAGUGUGCCUGGGUUUGUGGUUCUCUAUUUCCUGGCCAGCACUGGUGUCCUCAAACUUCUGAUUUUCUUUCCAUUUAUUUUACUUUGUUCAUCUAAAUGGGUAUGAAAUAAUAUCUCUGGGCUGUUUCAUGUCCAUGGAAAUUUCUCUGUUGUAAAUGUGUGGGCCAAAGGAACUGCACCUUGUCCUCAAGAGAUUCGGGUCGAAACCUUGGCUCCGGGGCCCACCAGCAGUAUGGCUUUGGGCAGUCACCUAAUGUCCCUGAGCUCAGUUUUCUCAUCUGUAAAAUGGAGAUGGCAGAGUUCCCAUAGGGUUACCGUGGGAAUUCAAAGGCUAGGCGCCCAGCACUCAGUAAGCGCUCGGGAAGUGGGAAGUAAUGUUACUGGAAGCCAGCCCCCCAGGGAGGGUCAUGGAUUCCUGCAUGGAGACACCCAGCCCUCUGCCUGUUGAAAUAAACAUUGCCACCACUCGU